rnacentral:lncRNA from 1 species
AGUUCCGGCGCCGCUCCCCGAGGGAGGACGGAACGCCCGCCCGGGAGAGAAAGUCCGGGAGCCGCUCACGGGGGCCUCGACCCCACCCCCUCCGGAGAGCGGGUCCCGGGAAGCCCUGAGCCUCCUUCUCUCCCAGGCGAGACCCUGGCGUUUCAACCCACACGCCCGGUGUGGAAGACGUAGGGGCGCAAUUGCAGCCUCUGCCCCUUCAUGCGCUCAUUCAACAAAAACUUUUUUUUUUUUGAGACCGAGUCUCGCUCUGUCGCCCAGGCUGGACCGCAGUGUCGCAAUCUUGGCUCACUGCAAGCUCCACCUCUCGGGUUCAAGCGAUUCUCCUGCCUCAGCCUCCCGAGUACGUGGGAUUACAGGCACCCACCAUCGUGCCCAGCUAUUUUUUGUAUUUUUACCAGAGACGGGGUUUCACCAUGUUGGCCAGGAUGGUCUCGAACUCCCGGCCUUAAGUGAUCCGCCCGCCUCGGCCACCCAAAGUGCUGGGAUUACAGACGUGAGCCACCGCUCCCGGCCCUGAACUGGAUUUCAAAGGAUGAAUAGCAGUUUGCCAAGCAGACAGGAGGUGGCUUCCCUCAUAGUGGCAAAAGGGCUGCAGGAGCUCUGGGACUCACGUGCAUCCUCCAUCAUGAACAAGAGGAGAAGGGAACCACCCAGGAAGGUCGCUCCUAAAACCCUGACUCACAGACACUGAACUAACACAUGUUUAUGGUUGUCUUAAAGCAGUCGGUUUUGAGGUCACCUGUUCUUCACAAGACGUAAUGAAUGCAGCAGUUCAGGCUUUCCUGCAGUCGACUGAGUUCUCUGGUAACUGUGAGCAGGACUGAUGCGUGCCACCUGCAGGCCCACCCAUACGAACUUCCCACCCGAACCUCUGCAGCCUCCAUGCCCGGUCCUCUUGGCCUCAGGUCCCCUAGGCCAGCCAUGGGGGCCACAAGCUGAAGACGGCAGAGGUACAAGAGGAAGAAGUCUGGGGCCCUCAAUCAUGGCUGGGGGAUUGCUGCCCAGGAAUACCACCUGACCAGAGACACCACAUGAAUGAUUCCAUGAGCAGGAAAUAAAUCUUCAUGUUUAAGCCACUGAGAUUUGGGGAUUUAUCCAUUACAGUACCUAAAGUCACCUUAAACUAAUACUCUUUCUUUUUUUUUUUUUUUUUUUUUUGAGUCGGCGUCUUGCUCUGUGGCCCAGGCUGGAGUGCAGUGUCGAGAUCCCGGUUCACUGCAACCUCCGCCUCCCGGGUUCAAGUGAUUCUCCUGCCUCAGCUUCCUGAGUAACUGGGAUUACAGUCAUACGCUACCACACCUGGCUCAUUUUUGUAUUUUUAGGAGGGACAGGGUUUCACCAUGUUGGUCAAGCUGGUCUCGAACUCCUGACCUCGUGAUCCUCCCACCUCGGCCUCCCAAAGUGCUGGGAUUAUAGGCAUGAGCCACUGCGCCCGGCCUAAUACUCUUUCAUACAGAAUUUUUUUUCCCCCAGGCUGGAUUGUAAUGGCGUGAUCUCGGUCACUGCAACCUCCACCUCCCCGGUUCAAGCGAU